UCACUUCCUAGAUGGGAUGGUGGCCGGGA
rnacentral:piRNA from 1 species